rnacentral:rRNA from 1 species
AUGUCCCUCAUGCUGAAUAACCCUAAGGUGAUGGUCAAAGUUCGUGAUGAGAUUGAUUCCUACAUAGGGAAACCAAUACGCCUAAUUGAGGCGUCCGAUCUCCUAAAGUUGCAAUACUUUCGUUGCAUAAUCAUGGAGAAGCUUCGUUUGCAUCCACCAACACCACUUCUUGUUCCUCAUGAAUCUUCUAUUGACUGCACCGUCAGUGGAUUUUAUAUUCCCAAGGGGACAAUGCUUCUUGUGAACACAUCUGCAAUACAUAGGGACCCUAAGAUAUGGGAUAAACCAACAAACUUUAUUCCAGAAAGGUUUGAGGGUGAAAAGUGUGAAGGUAAUAUGGCUAUGCCAUUUGGUAUGGACAGGCGACGAUGCCCAGCAGAGAAUUUGGGUAUGCAGAUGGUAGGCCUUGCUCUGGGAACUAUGAUCCAAUGUUUCGAAUGGGAAAGAGUGGGGGAGGAGCUUGUGGACAUGACCGACGGCUUUGGCCUAACUGCUCCGAGGGCAGUGCCCUUGGAGGCCUUCUGUAAACCCCGUCAAUCUAUGGUGACUCUUCUUUCGGAGAUAUAG